UACGUAGGGUGCGAGCGUUGUCCGGAAUUACUGGGCGUAAAGAGCUCGCAGGCGGAUUGUCGCGUCGUUUGUGUAAACUUGGGGCUCAACCCCAAGCUUGCAGGCGAUACGGGCAGACUAGAGUACUUCAGGGGAGACUGGAAUUCCUGGUGUAGCGGUGAAAUGCGCAGAUACCAGGAGGAACACCGGUGGCGAAGGCGGGUCUCUGGGAAGUAACUGACGCUGAGAAGCGAAAGCAUGGGUAGCAAACAGG
rnacentral:rRNA from 1 species